rnacentral:lncRNA from 1 species
AUAAAAUCUGGGAGCCCAAGCAGCAUAUUUGUGGGAUUUGUCUGACAGAACGCAAUGGAAACAGAGCGUGGCAUUCGCUCCAUCUCCCCCAGAUGUUCCAUAAGUUUCUGCUUCCAUCAGCAAUGUAAGGAAGUGCCCAAUUCCUCCUACCCCCACAUUACUGAGAAUCUUAUCAAAUUUUUUGAUCUUUUCUGAUUGGCUCUCCAAUCCUGAAGUCAAAAUGGAAUGCAUCUCUGCUCUUCCUCUGGGCAUCAUCUAAUUUUUUUGUUCUUGUUUUCCUUGUGCUGGAAUCUACAACACCCUCUCCUAGCCCCUCAACCAGCCUUUCUUCUGCAGAGCAACUUAGUUCUAAUUAGCAACUACAAACCUAUUCACCUACAUCCAAGAGUUCAGUAGUGUCUUUUAAGUAUGUAACAGGCAAUUCUUUUACAUUUUAUUGAGAUGACUACUUUAAAAAAAUUGGUUGCUACCCAGAACUGUUUAGAACAUUGCUUGCUUUAGGUAAGUGAGUGAAGCAAGAUGUGAUAACAUAGGGCUGGGGGACUAGAGUUGGGUAAUAUGGUAGCACAUGAUUUUGUUACUUGAGAUUGCCUGUAA